rnacentral:lncRNA from 1 species
AAGAUCCCAACAUAAGAAUUCAUGAAGUGAUAUAGACACGAGUAUUCUUGCCUCCUACAAAACGGACACUGUCGCUUGUGGAGUUUGGAGACACAGCAUAUGAUCUCCCUUCUCUUCCGACGGGCUCCAUGAGCCGACGAAUUCAAUGUCACCACGUGGUGUCCUCAUGCGACCAUCGACCACGUGGGCUCCCUCCAGGCGCGGAGUCUGCCUCCUCCCUGUCUCGCUUACUAUAUAUAGCCCCUCAUCCCUCUCUCCCCCCCCACCCCAACACAAACACACAGGUCUCGGAUCAAACACUUCGUCACAUUCGCC